ensembl:lncRNA
AUGCCUCUGUGCCUUAGACAUGUGGAAGAAACCUUGAUUCUUGAAUCAGGGCCCGGUGCUGGGAGCUCCUUGUCGCUGUAUAACACUAGCAACGGACACAUCCAUCACCGGCUGGGGUGCGGUCAUGAGUGGCCACCCUGCCCACGGUCUGUGGAGUGGUCGCCAUCUGACAUGGCAUAUCAAUUGUCUGGAGAUGCUGGUCGUGUAUCAAGCAUUGAAAGACUUCCUCCUAGACCUGAGAGGUCACCAUGUGUUGGUGCGCACCGACAACACAUCAGUGGUCUCUUACAUCAACCACCAGGGAGGUCUGCGUUCGCGACCCUUGUACAAGCUGGCGCACCAGAUCCUUGUGUGGUCCCCGGACAAACUCCUCUCACUCAGAGCAGUAUAUAUUCCUGGACAUCUCAAUGUAGGAGCAGAUGUCCUGUCAAGACAGGGGCCAAGGCCCGGGGAAUGGAUGCUUCACCCCAAGGUGGUGAAGCAAAUAUGGAGAAUUUUUGGCCAGACUCAGGUGGACCUCUUUGCUACUCAGGAGACAUCGCAAUGUUCCCUCUGGUUCUCCCUAGUUCAUUCAGCUACUCUGGGACUGGACGCUAUGGUACAGACUUGGUACCGACGGGACGGGACGGGGUUUGGUUGUUAUUAGUAGCCCCAUUCUUGCCGGGCCGAGUAUGGUUCUCAGAUCUGAUCUUGCUCCUCGGACGGCUCUCCAUGGGAGAUUCCAAUCAGGAGAGAUCUACUCUCACAGACGCAGGGUACGAUAAUUCACCCCCGCCCGGUGUUGUGGAAACCAUGGGUGUGGCCCCUGAGGGGGCACAGCUCAUAGGAUCCGGUCUCUCAACCGAGGUUGUUGAGACCAUCCUCCAAUCGAGAGCUCCCUCAACGAGGAAACUGUACACCAUGAGAUGGAAACUCUUCACCUCAUGGUGCAGAGACCGCCAGCUUGACCCAGCUAACUGCCCAGUUGGUACAGUUCUGGAGUUUUUAGAAGCCAGGUGCUCUGCAGGGUUGACCCACUCUACCUUAAAAGUUUACAUGGCGGCCAUUGCGGCCUACCAUGUCCUCCUUGGUAGCCAGUCAGUGGGUAGACACCCCCUAUUGACACGUUUCCUCUGCGGUGUGCUGAGGCUGAGGCCUCCAGUAUGGUCCCGUGUUCCCCCCUGGGACUUGGUUGUGGUAUUAGAGGCUCUCUUUAAAGCUCCAUUCGAGCCGAUUCAGGGGAUAUCAGACCAUUAUCUGACUGUAAAGACGGCUUUCUUGCUGGCUAUUACUUCUCCAAAGACAGUUGGAGACCUUCGGGCCCUCUCAGUGGUCCCUGCUCAUCUCGACUUUGCGUCCGGCAUGGCUAAAGCAUUUUUAUACCCUCGAGCGGGUUAUAUUUCAAAGUUUCUCUUCGUCAAACCACAACCAAUAGUGCUGCAGGCCUUCUGUCCUCCUCCCUUCCGGGAGACUGACCAGAAGAAGCUUAAUUGUAUGUGUCCAGUUUGA